rnacentral:rRNA from 1 species
UAUCAAAAACAUAACUAUAUGCUUUUAUAUAUAGCUAUUUCUGCCCACUGAUUUAUUUAAUGGCCGCAGUACCCUGACUGUGCAAAGGUAGCAUAAUCAAUUGGCUUAUAAUUGAAGUCUAGAAUGAAUGAAAAAAUGGUGGGAGGGCUAUAUUCUUAGGAUUAAACAAAAUUUCUUAUAAAGUGAAAAUACUUUAUUAUAUAUAAUAGACGAGAAGACCCUAGAAAUUUUUACAAAAUUAUUAAAACGUUUUUGUUGGGGCGACAUAGUAACAAAAAAACUUACUUAAAAUUAUUAGCCGUUUAUAUAAAGAAUAUUUAAAUUACUCUAGGGAUAACAGCAUAAUAUUUAAAAGUUUGUGACCUCGAUGUUGGACUAGGGAGUUAUAGUUCAGAAGACUAUUAGAAAGCUCUGUUCGAGCAUAUAUAUCCUACGUGAUCU